rnacentral:tRNA from 1 species
GCCCGUUUGGUCUAAUGGUAUGAUGGUUGCUUAGGGUGCAAUUGAUUUAGGUUCGAUUCCUAAAUCGGGUA